rnacentral:lncRNA from 12 species
GGAAGGUAGAGCUCUUCAUGUCCUAUUAAGGUUAACAUCUGUCACAUAUUCAGGAAACUGUUACAGCAGAUUGAGAGAGGUACAUCACAAAACAUCAUCAGCAAUGAUCUCCAAGACAACUCUUGGCUAUACUUUCUAAUAGGAUACAGCUGUUCCCAGACUUGGAUUCAGCUAUUCCCAAGAUUCUGCUAUGAUGUUUCAAGGACAAAGGACAUUGCCAGCCAUCCUCUAGAGCCUUGGGCUGUGUCUCCACCCCAUGUCCACAGGACAGGGCUGCCUUGCAAAGGACAAAGAAGGAAGCCAGAGGGGACCCUGGGCUGCAAGGUGGCUCAGGGACAAUGCUCAGAUCCUGUGAGUGCAAUGGCCAUGACCAGACUGCAAAGCAUGAGAACUGUCAAGGUGCUUCUGAAGGGCUCCACAACACUCUGAGGUAUUGGCCACUCCUCCCAGCUUGUAAUCAGCAAACUUACUGAGGGGGAUUUGACAUGGGAAUUAAUGAUUUUCAUUUAGUGUACAUUAAAAUAAACAAAUAGAUAUAUCAUUAUAAAAUAAACAAAUAAACAUUAGAUAUAUCAAUC